AUACAUGCAAGUCGAACGAGAAAGUAUCCUUCGGGAUACGAGUACAGUGGCGCACGGGUGAGUAACGCGUAGGCAACCUACCCUCGAGUGGGGAAUAACCAUCGGAAACGGUGGCUAAUACCGCAUGCUGUCGUGCAUCGCAUGGUGCACGAUGAAAGUCUUCGGAUGCUUGAGGAUGGGCCUGCGUCGGAUUAGUUAGUAGGUAGGGUAACGGCCUACCUAGGCAGCGAUCCGUAGCUGGUCUGAGAGGACGAUCAGCCACACUGGCACUGAGACACGGGCCAGACUUCUACGGAAGGCAGCAGUAGGGAAUAUUGGGCAAUGGGCGCAAGCCUGACCCAGCCACGCCGCGUGGAGGAAGACACCCCUAUGGGGCGUAAACUCCUUUUAUACGGGAAGAACCCCUCCCUCAGGGAGCCUGACGGUACCGUAUGAAUAAGCACCGGCUAACUCCGUGCCAGCAGCCGCGGUAAUACGGAGGGUGCAAGCGUUGUCCGGAUUCACUGGGUGUAAAGGGUGUGUAGGCGGGACGGUAUGUCAGAGGUGAAAGCCCACGGCUUAACCGUGGAAUUGCCUUUGAAACUGCCGUUCUUGAGUCUCGGAGAGGUCGCUGGAAUUCGUGGUGUAGCGGUGAAAUGCGUAGAUAUCACGAGGAACACCAGAG
rnacentral:rRNA from 1 species